rnacentral:rRNA from 1 species
GAUGAACGCUGGCGGCGUGCCUAAUACAUGCAAGUCGAGCGGACAGACGAGGAGCUUGCUCCUCUUACGUUAGCGGCGGACAGGUGAGUAACACGUGGAUAACCUACCUAUAAUACUGGGAUAACUUCGGUAAACCUGAGCUAAUACCGGAUAAUAUAUUGAACCGCAUGGUUCAAUAGUGAAAUGCGGUUUUGCUGUCACUUAUAGAUGGAUCCGCGCCGCUUUAGCUAGUUGGUAAGGUAACGGCUUACCAAGGCAGCGAUGCGUAGCCGACGUGAGAGGGUGAUCGCCCACACGAGAACUGAACCGGGGACAAGAGUCCUACGGGAGGGACCAGUCGGGAACCUUACGCAACGGGCGAGAGUAUGACGGAACACGCGCGAGCGUGAGAUGACGGUGUUGGGAUCGUAAAACUCUGUUAUUAGGGAAGAACCAAUGUGUAAGUAACUAUGCCCGUCUUGACGGUACCUAAUCAGAAAGCAACGGCUAACUACGUG